CAGUGACUCCACACCCAUACUUUUGAAAAUAGUCACUUUUAAACUAUAACUAUUUGUUUUGAUAUAUCUGUUGGGACUUUGAAAAAUAGAAUGAGUAAAUUAAGGUGUGAAACAGAAAGUCUGGUGUGACAGAUUUGCAGCUGUUUUCUAAAGCAACUUGCUUUUUAUGGCAGGUUCUUCCAGCAUCAAGAUGGCACAUCUGGAGUUUCAGCACCUCUCCAAAAGUGGUAUGACAUCUGAAUUGACCUGUUAGUUAUGAAUAGGCUUUCUACAGUGUUUUGAUGAAAGAAGUUGUGACCCUGGAGAAGGAAGAAGCCAUUUUUGUAAACAGCAAAAAACCUUCUUCAUCUGCUGUCACCAUCCAUGCAACCAGAUCUCCUGCCUUCCUGGACCUUCAUGCUUCUCCCUAACUCCAUGGAAACUUUGUGGAUCCCACACACCCUUGGAGUGGCCAUGUGUCUUGGAUUCCUGGUUUUCAUCUUCUCCCCUUUGGUCUUCAUGGGUCUGCUGCUUUUCUCUCUGAGCGGUCUUCCCUCCUUGGGUCUGGGGGACUCUGGCCUCACUGGAAGUUGGCAGAACCUUGUCCAGAACUCUGUGGUGAGUUUGUUCUUCUACUGACCUUUUCUGCCAGUUCCGCUGCUCUCCAGUUGCCUCUAUUAGAGGGAGCCAAGCAUUUAUUUGUCCAUCAAGCAUUUUAUUUUUGUAGUUCCUGAAUCUUCCAGUUCAGUGCAUGCAUUCCAGGCCAGAGGCUGCCUAAAUUACUUUUGCACAAACACUGUCCUCCACACUCUCCUUCCUGGCUGUGAACUGAAAGACUGUUUGUUGGGAGUGGGCAUGUCUAGGAACAGAACUCAGAGGGGAAAACUUGCGAUUUGGGUCAACCACGUGCCAGCCUUACCUAGUUUGUGUGCUUCGAUGUGCAAAGACCUCCUCAGGUCAGAAAGAAUUCGUCUCCUCAUUGCAAAUUAAAGUGAAUACAGAGAAACACUUUUGCUUAGAAGGGUUACUGGUUUCUGGGGCAGGCUGCAAACAUAGUCAUCAUUCCCAACCUCUCCUUUUGCAACAGGAGAUUUCGCCUCUCCAAUAAUGAGAUAAGUCCAUUUCUCCAAACCUUGAAUCUGGGCUGGGUCUGUGACUUUCCUUGGCAGAUGGAAGGCAGUAAAACAACUGUGUCUGAGCUAAGACCCUGGCCUCAGGAGACCUUGUGUGCUUCCCCUCUUUCUCUUGGAGCACUGCCAGGUGUCGUGGGAACAAGCCUGAACAGCCAGAUGGAAGAUAAAAUACUACGUGGACCAGAGCAGAGUCACUCCCAUUUCCCAAGCAUGGGCCCAGACAUGUGAAAGAGGUUAACCAAGACCAGUCAAGCCUGGCCCAGAUUGGUAGAAUCAUCUAUAUGUCUGUAGACUCAUGAGCCACACAAUGAAGGGUUAUAUUUUAAAGUGCUAAAUUUUGGGCUUGUUUGAGACUAAAUCAAGUUAAGUUAGAAAGACAAAUAUCAUUUGAGAUCAUUAAUAUGUGGAACCUAAUAAAAAUGGCAUAAAAGAACUUAUGCA
rnacentral:lncRNA from 1 species